GAGAAAUGAGGUGUUUCCCCCACCUGAGCCUGAAGAAGUGAAGGUGACUCAGAAGAGGCCAAUCAAGAUUAUCAACCACACUCUGGGGGGAGUCCGGCUUGACUGAUAAGCAUUAAUUGGGGAUGAAGCCCUGCUAGGCAGGAGCAGGCUGGGCUUGUAUAUGGCCAGGAAGUUGAGAACAGAAGGGAGUGAGUCUGGAGUUAUUCUCUUGGUACAGAGAGGUGGGUUGGCAGGCAGAAACUUGGGGGAGUAAGAGCCCUGUGAGAAGGGUUUACCCCGAGAAGUUGUGGGGAAGAAAGCAUGUGGAAGGCAGAGUAGGAAGCAGCCCAGGGAAAGAGCUGGGGUUGAGAAUCUGUAGACCUUGGCUGCUGAUUGUAGGAUCCCUGGGCUGGAAAGGGGAACCCAGGCCUGCACACAUAUCAGCCACUGGGUAAGUGGCCUGGACUUUGAUAUGGAGGGCUUGGUAUGGAGAAUUGAUAUGGAGGGCUAUCUGAGAUGGUGUCAGACAGUUUGUCUGGAGAGGCUUUCAUACCCUGGAAGGGGAAAACUAUAGGGUGACCUGUCUGAGUCUUGCAGAGAGAGAUUAUGGCACAAGCAAAUGAUGGAAAGGGGUGCCAGAAUGGAUGAGAUCUGAUCUUCAGACCCUGCUACAAGAAAGUGCCCCAGUGAUACAACUGGGUAAGCUGCGUGUCAAGGUUCUUCUUAGACAUCCCUUGCCAAUGUGCUUCAAGUUCCUGAACUGACAGGGCUAAACUCCAGGGCUGCCUAUGGCCUGUCAGUUAAGAAUGACACCAAAGAUGCAUGGGCACUUUCUGAGAUGGAGACAUGAGGUGGCAUGUACAUUGUAUGAGAAUAAUCACAGAAGUCACUAACUACAAUGCUGAGAAAACAGAUUCUUGUUUGUGGUUGAAAGAAAGAAUUCAACGGACCCUACAGAUGUCCGACAUGUUGAAGGAAAGGCAAUUCAUUCAGUCCAGGUUUGCCAGGGAUUCUCUGCAUUCCUUCACGGUGGUCCCCAGCAUGGCUGGUCACCAGCAAAAAGGCUAUUGCUGUGACUACGUGAAACAAUUGGGGCAACAUUGUUGGAGGCCAG